AGUGAACGCUGGCGGUAGGCCUAACACAUGCAAGUCGAACGGCAGCACAGUAAGAGCUUGCUCUUACGGGUGGCGAGUGGCGGACGGGUGAGGAAUACAUCGGAAUCUACUUUUUCGUGGGGGAUAACGUAGGGAAACUUACGCUAAUACCGCAUACGACCUACGGGUGAAAGCAGGGGAUCUUCGGACCUUGCGCGAUUGAAUGAGCCGAUGUCGGAUUAGCUAGUUGGCGGGGUAAAGGCCCACCAAGGCGACGAUCCGUAGCUGGUCUGAGAGGAUGAUCAGCCACCCUGGACCUGAGACACGGUCCAGACUCCUACGGGAGGCAGCAGUGGGGAAUAUUGGACAAUGGGCGCAAGCCUGAUCCAGCAAUACCGCGUGGGUGAAGAAGGCCUUCGGGUUGUAAAGCCCUUUUGUUGGGAAAGAAAAGCAGCAGGUUAAUACCCCGCUGUUCUGACGGUACCCAAAGAAUAAGCACCGGCUAACUUCGUG
rnacentral:rRNA from 1 species